ACCGCUAAUACCGCAUAAGCCGGAAGGAUCGCAUGAUUCGGCCGGAAAAGAUUUAUCGGUGUGAGAUGGACCCGCGUCUGAUUAGCCAGUUGGCAGGGUAACGGCCUACCAAAGCGACGAUCAGUAGCCGGCCUGAGAGGGUGAACGGCCACAUUGGGACUGAGACACGGCCCAAACUCCUACGGGAGGCAGCAGUGGGGAAUAUUGCACAAUGGGGGAAACCCUGAUGCAGCGACGCCGCGUGAGUGAAGAAGUAUUUCGGUAUGUAAAGCUCUAUCAGCAGGGAAGAAAAUGACGGUACCUGACUAAGAAGCCCCGGCUAACUACGUGCCAGCAGCCGCGGUAAUACGUAGGGGGCAAGCGUUAUCCGGAUUUACUGGGUGUAAAGGGAGCGUAGACGGCCAGACAAGUCAGAAGUGAAAGCCCAGGGCUCAACCCUGGGACUGCUUUUGAAACUGCCGGGCUGGAGUGCAGGAGAGGUAAGCGGAAUUCCUAGUGUAGCGGUGAAAUGCGUAGAUAUUAGGAGGAACACCAGUGGCGAAGGCGGCUUACUGGACUGUAACUGACGUUGAGGCUCGAAAGCGUGGGGAGCAAACAGGAUUAGAUACCCUGGUAGUCCUCGCCGUAAACGA
rnacentral:rRNA from 1 species